rnacentral:rRNA from 1 species
GACGUAGGUGGCGAACGUUAUCCGGAAUUAUUGGGCGUAAAGAGCGUGUAGGCGGCCAUACAGGUCAGCUGUGAAAACUCGAGGCUCAACCUCGAGACGUCGGUUGAAACCGUAUGGCUAGAGUCCGGAAGAGGAGAGUGGAAUUCCCGGUGUAGCGGUGAAAUGCGCAGAUAUCGGGAAGAACACCCGUGGCGAAGGCGGCUCUCUGGGACGGUACUGACGCUGAGACGCGAAAGCGUGGGGAGCGAACAGG